AGAGUUUGAUCCUGGCUCAGAACGAACGCUGGCGGCAGGCCUAACACAUGCAAGUCGGACGAAGCCCUCGGGCUUAGUGGCGGACGGGUUAGUAACGCGUGGGAACGUACCCUUUUCUACGGAAUAGCCUUUGGAAACGAAGAGUAAUACCGUAUACGCCCUUCGGGGGAAAGAUUUAUCGGAGAAGGAUCGGCCCGCGUUAGAUUAGAUAGUUGGUGGGGUAAUGGCCUACCAAGUCUACGAUCUAUAGCUGGUUUUAGAGGAUGAUCAGCAACACUGGGACUGAGACACGGCCCAGACUCCUACGGGAGGCAGCAGUGGGGAAUCUUAGACAAUGGGCGCAAGCCUGAUCUAGCCAUGCCGCGUGAGUGAAGAAGGCCUUAGGGUCGUAAAGCUCUUUCGCCUGUGAUGAUAAUGACAGUAGCAGGUAAAGAAACCCCGGCUAACUCCGUGCCAGCAGCCGCGGUAAUACGGAGGGGGUUAGCGUUGUUCGGAAUUACUGGGCGUAAAGCGCACGUAGGCGGAUUGGAAAGUUAGAGGUGAAAUCCCAGGGCUCAACCCUGGAACUGCCUUUAAAACUCCCAGUCUUGAGUUCGAGAGAGGUGAGUGGAAUUCCAAGUGUAGAGGUGAAAUUCGUAGAUAUUUGGAGGAACACCAGUGGCGAAGGCGGCUCACUGGCUCGAUACUGACGCUGAGGUGCGAAAGUGUGGGGAGCAAACAGGAUUAGAUACCCUGGUAGUCCACACCGUAAACGAUGAAUGCCAGUCGUCGGGUAGUAUACUAUUCGGUGACACACCUAACGGAUUAAGCAUUCCGCCUGGGGAGUACGGUCGCA
rnacentral:rRNA from 1 species